rnacentral:rRNA from 1 species
UACGUAGGGUGCAAGCGUUAAUCGGAAUUACUGGGCGUAAAGCGUGCGCAGGCGGUUAUGUAAGACAGAUGUGAAAUGCCCGGGCUUAACCUGGGAACUGCAUUUGUGACUGCAUGGCUAGAGUUUGGCAGAGGGGGGUAGAAUUCCACGUGUAGCAGUGAAAUGCGUAGAUAUGUGGAGGAACACCGAUGGCGAAGGCAGCCCCCUGGGUUAACACUGACGCUCAGGCACGAAAGCGUGGGGAGCAAACAGG